UAAAAAUUGUCUCGUAUAUUUAUAUUCAUAUGUUUUUGUUUAUUUUCUCAUUCACAACCAAGAACUGUAUUUCCUGAGAAGUGUACAUGUACGGUGAAUCAGAUCUUUAAGAAAUGUAAGUGUAUUUUAACAUAUAAAUGGAUGUUUUGAACGUUUAUUUUCGCGCAUGAUGAAAAUGAGACGACUUUAUUAUUUUACAGGUGUUCCGUUUCAAAAAGGCACGUACAUGAUAUUAAAUAUAAACUCAGUUAUCUAUUCUAUUCAAUCUGUACAAAAAGUCGUACAUGGUAAGAUAUAUCGAGUUGUUAUCAAUGUGUAUAAGUUAUACUAUGCCCUUGACUUAAUCCCUUUUACCGGUUAACAUGUAAGAAAAAUGAUUGAUUGCUGGUUUGAUGGUUGCUAAACGUCCAGCGGCAAAUAUAUAAUGCAUAUUAGGGAUAAGAAAGAAUUAGAUAUACAUACAAUAGGCAUGUAUUAAAGAAGAGCCCGUCUGGGAUGAAGGUAGAAAAAUAUUGAACUUGCACUGUAAAAUGAGGGUAUAUUUGGAACGGGAACCACAUUUAACCUUGCAAAAGGUCAAAUACGGACCGUCAUAGGUAUUUUGCAAGUAUUUAUGACGUACAAAGAACGUGAUAUUUUCUAUACACUUUUCAUCGGUUUUCAUGUCUCCGUUCUGAGCGGAAUUGGCUGCGAAAAUGAAGAUCCCGCACGGCGAACUGACGCUCCACUUAACCAAGGAUUUACUGCCGGUCGAGAGAAAAACAGUAAUGAUUGAUAUCUAUUACCAUGUCAUCCUAGGGGUAUGAGCAAAUUAGUAUCCCUACGUUACAGCUGAACUUUUUAUAAUAUUCAUUAUGUCUUGAGACAUGGAAAGAUGUCUUGAGACAUGGCAAAAUGUCUUGAGACAUGGCAAAAUGUCUUGAGACAUAGCAAAAUGUCUUGAGACAUAGCAAAAUGUCUUGAGACAUGGAAAAAUGUCUUAAGAUGUUUCGUUUUAGUUCAUUAUAUAAAUGCAUUUUCUACAUGGUUGAUUUCAGAUACACCAUUGACAAUGGCCAUGUCUUGAGACAUAUAGUUAAUAUACUAAGAUAUCAAAUUAAACUGUAAAUAUAUUUGCAAUGGGGCCGUCUAUUUGUUUUUCAAAGGUAAUAGCAUUCACAAACAUAUUAAAAUGGUUUCUGAUUGAAUUCAAAUGUUCAAGAGGUGAAGUUUUGUUUGACAAACAGAUUUACAGCUCAUGCAAUAAAGAGAUACGAAAAAAAAGUCUGGUACCCACACAACAUACUUAUAUGGCUAAUUUGGAGAUUAUGUUGAGAUAAAUAAAAUGGUGUACUUAAAUAUAUAUAGAUAAAUAUAUUAGGGAUAAGAAAGAAUUAGAUAUACAUACUAUAGGCAUGUAUUAAAGUAGAGGCCGUCUGGGAUGAAGGUAAAUAAAUCUGAACUUGCACUGUAAAAUGAGGGUAUAUUGGAACGGGAACCACAUUUAACCUUGCCAAAGGUCAAAUACGGACUCGUCAUAGAAAUUUUGCAAGUAUUUAUGACGUACAAAGAACGUAAUAUUCUCUAUACACUUUCCUCGGUUUUCAUGUCUCUGUUCUGACCGGAAAAUGAAGAUCCCGCACGGCGAACUGACACUCCAAUUAACUAAAGAUCUACUGUCGGUCGAGAGAAAAGCAGUGAUGAUUGAUAUCUAUUACCAUGUCAUCCUUGGGGGUAGGAACACAUUAGUAUCCCUAUGUUACAGCUGAACUUUUAUAAUAUUCCCUAUGUCUAGAGACAUGGAAAGAUGUCUUGAGACAUGGCAAAAUGUCUUGAGACAUGGCAAAAUGUCUUGAGACAUAGCAAAAUGUCUUGAGACAUGGAAAAAUGUCUUAAGAUGUUUCGUUUUAGUUCAUUAUAUAAAUGCAAUUUUCUGCAUGGUUGAUUUCAGAUACACCAUUGACAAUGGCCAUGUCUUGAGACAUAUAGUUAAUAUACUAAGAUAUCAAAUUAAACUGUAAAUAUAUUUGCAAUGGGGCCGUCUAUUUGUUUUUCAAAGGUAAUAGCAUUCACAAACAUAUUAAAAUGGUUUCUGAUUGAAUUCAAAUGUUCAAGAGGUGAAGUUUUGUUUGACAAACAGAUUUACAGCUCAUGCAAUAAAGAGAUACGAAAAAAAAGUCUGGUACCCACACAACAUACUUAUAUGGCUAAUUUGGAGAUUAUCAUUGAGCGAAAAAAAAAAUGAAGAUGGUGUAUAAAGUAUUAAUUAAAGACUCUAUGACAUAAAAAAAUACAGAUCAUACCUUGGAAGCAGUACGUAAACAAAACAAAAUAUCUAUGAAUUUGAUAUAUCUCCCCAUUAGAGGCGUGGUUUGUCAAACAGCUGUAUUUACAGGUUCAAUCUUUAGAUAGAAGAUAAAAUAUCGAUACAUUGUAGAUGUCUACGGACUGUUUCUUAUUGGUAUGUCAUAUUUGUAUUUUGAAGAAAACUAAGUCUUACAAAAAUGUUUUGACUUGAGACAGAACAUAAAUAUCUUGAGACUUUGUUGAUAUUUAAGAGUUUUGCUGAAUUGAUAUCAAUUUGUAUGUUGAAAUAAAAUACUAUAUAAAUAGAAAAAGACAGGAAAUUAUCAUUAUUAUUCUAUUUAUUUGAAGAUAUUUAUAAUGGUUAAAAAUUGUCUCGUAUAUUUAUAUUCAUAUGUUUUUGUUUAUUUUCUCACUCAAGGCCAAGAACUGUAUUUGCUGAGAAGUGUACAUGUACGGUGAAUCAGAUCUUUAAGAAAUGUAAGUGUAUUUUAACAUAUAAUGGAUGUUUUGAUCGUUCAUUUUUGCGCAUGAUGAAAAUGAGACGACUUUAUUAUUUUACAGGUGUUCCGUUUCAAAAAGGCACGUACAUGAUAUUAAAUAUAAACUCAGUUAUCUAUUCUAUUCAAUCUGUACAAAAAGUCGUACAUGGUAAGAUAUAUCGAGUUGUUAUCAAUGUGUAUAAGUUAUACUAUGCCCUUGACUUAAUCCCUUUUACCGGUUAACAUGUAAGAAAAAUGAUUGAUUGCUGGUUUGAUGGUUGCUAAACGUCCAGCGGCAAAUAUAUAAUGCAUAUUAGGGAUAAGAAAGAAUUAGAUAUACAUACAAUAGGCAUGUAUUAAAGAAGAGCCCGUCUGGGAUGAAGGUAGAAAAAUUUGAACUUGCACUGUAAAAUGAGGGUAUAUUGGAACGGGAACCACAUUUAACCUUGCAAAAGGUCAAAUACGGACCGUCAUAGGUAUUUUGCAAGUAUUUAUGACGUACAAAGAACGUGAUAUUCUCUAUACACUUUUCAUCGGUUUUCAUGUCUCCGUUCUGAGCGGAAUUGGCUGCGAAAAUGAAGAUCCCGCACGGCGAACUGACGCUCCACUUAACCAAAGAUUUACUGCCGGUCGAGAGAAAAACAGUAAUGAUUGAUAUGUAUUACCAUGUCAUCCUAGGGGUUAUGAGCAAAUUAGUAUCCCUACGUUACAGCUGAACUUUUAUAAUAUUCAUUAUGUCUUGAGACAUGGAAAGAUGUUGAGACAUGGCAAAAUGUCUUGAGACAUGGCAAAAUGUCUUGAGACAUAGCAAAAUGUCUUGAGACAUGUCUUGAGACAUGGCAAAAUGUCUUGAGACAUAGCAAAAUGUCUUGAGACAUAGCAAAAUGUCUUGAGACAUGGAAAAAUGUCUUAAGAUGUUUCGUUUUAGUUCAUUAUAUAAAUGCAUUUUUCUACAUGGUUGAUUUCAGAUACACCAUUGACAAUGGCCAUGUCUUGAGACAUAUAGUUAAUAUACUAAGAUAUCAAAUUAAACUGUAAAAGUAUUUGCAAUGGGGCCGUCUAUUUGUUUUUCAAUGGUAAUAGCAUUCACAAACAUAUUAAAAUGGUUUCUGAUUGAAUUCAAAUGUUCAAGAGGUGAAGUUUUGUUUGACAAACAGAUUUACAGCUCAUGCAAUAAACGAUACGAAAAAAAAGUCUGGUACCCACACAACAUACUUAUAUGGCUAAUUUGGAGAUUAUCGUUGAGCGAAAAAUAAAAUGUAGAUGGUGUAUAAGUUAUUAAUUAAAGACUCUAUGAUAUAAAAAAAUACAGAUCAUACCUUGGAAGCAGUACGUAAACAAAACAAAAUAUCUAUGAAUAUGAUAUAUCUCCCCAAAAGAGGCGUGGUUUGUCAAACAGCUGUAUAAAUUUACAGGUGAAAUCUUUAGAUAGAAGAUAAAAUAUCGACACAUUGUAGAUGUCUACGGACUGUUUUUUUUAUUGGUAUGUCAUAUUUGUAUUUUGAAGAAAACUAAGUCUUACAAAAAUGUUUUGCCUUGAGACAGAAAAUAAAUAUCUUGAUAUUUUUGUUGAUGUUUAAGAGUUUUGCUGUAAUUGGUAUCUAUUUGUAUGUUGAAAUAAAAUACUGUAUAAAUAGAAAACGACAGGAAAUUAUCAUUAUUAUUCUAUUUAUUUGAAGAUAUUUAUAAUGGUUAAAAAUUGUCUCGUAUAUUUAUAUUCAUAUGUUUUUGUUUAUUUUCUCACUCAUAGCCAAGAACUGUAUUUGCUGAGAAGUGUACAUGUACGGUGAAUCAGAUCUUUAAGAAAUGUAAGUGUAUUUUAACAUAUAAAUGGAUGUUUUGAUCGUUUAUUUUCGCGCAUGAUGAAAAUGAGACGACUUUAUUAUUUUACAGGUGUUCCGUUUCAAAAAGGCACGUACAUGAUAUUAAAUAUAAACUCAGUUAUCUAUUCUAUUCAAUCUGUACAAAAAGUCGUACAUGGUAAGAUAUAUCGAGUUGUUAUCAAUGUGUAUAAGUUAUACUAUGCCCUUGACUUAAUCCCUUUUACCGGUUAACAUGUAAGAAAAAUGAUUGAUUGCUGGUUUGAUGGUUGCUAAACGUCCAGCGGCAAAUAUAUAAUGCAUAUUAGGGAUAAGAAAGAAUUAGAUAUACAUACAAUAGGCAUGUAUUAAAGAAGAGCCCGUCUGGGAUGAAGGUAGAUAAAUCUGAACUUGCACUGUAAAAUGAGGGUAUAUUUGGAACGGGAACCACAUUUAACCUUGCAAAAGGUCAAAUACGGACCGUCAUAGGUAUUUUGCAAGUAUUUAUGACGUACAAAGAACGUGAUAUUCUCUAUACACUUUUCAUCGGUUUUCAUGUCUCCGUUCUGAGCGGAAUUGGCUGCGAAAAUGAAGAUCCCGCACGGCGAACUGACGCUCCACUUAACCAAGGAUUUACUGCCGGUCGAGAGAAAAACAGUAAUGAUUGAUAUCUAUUACCAUGUCAUCCUAGGGGUAUGAGCAAAUUAGUAUCCCUACGUUACAGCUGAACUUUUAUAAUAUUCAUUAUGUCUUGAGACAUGGAAAGAUGUCUUGAGACAUGGCAAAAUGUCUUGAGACAUGGCAAAAUGUCUUGAGACAUAGCAAAAUGUCUUGAGACAUAGCAAAAUGUCUUGAGACAUGGAAAAAUGUCUUAAGAUGUUUCGUUUUAGUUCAUUAUAUAAAUGCAUUUUCUACAUGGUUGAUUUCAGAUACACCAUUGACAAUGGCCAUGUCUUGAGACAUAUAGUUAAUAUACUAAGAUAUCAAAUUAAACUGUAAAAAUAUUUGCAAUGGGGCCGUCUAUUUGUUUUUCAAUGGUUAUAGCUUUCACAAACAGAUUAAAAUGGUUUCUGAUUGAAUUCAAAUGUUCAAGAGGUGAAGUUUUGUUUGACAAACAGAUUUACAGCUCAUGCAAUAAAAGGAUACGACAAAAAACUAGUCUGGUACCCACACAACAUACUUAUAUGGCUAAUUUGGAGAUUAUCGUUGAGCGAAAAAUAAAAUGUAGAUGGUGUAUAAGUUAUUAAUUAAAGACUCUAUGAUAUAAAAAAAAUACAGAUCAUACCUUGGAAGCAGUACGUAAACAAAACAAAAUAUCUAUGAAUAUGAUAUAUCUCCCCAAAAGAGGCGUGGUUUGUCAAACAGCUGUAUAAAUUUACAGGUGAAAUCUUUAGAUAGAAGAUAAAAUAUCGACACAUUGUAGAUGUCUACGGACUGUUUUUUUUAUUGGUAUGUCAUAUUUGUAUUUUGAAGAAAACUAAGUCUUACAAAAAUGUUUUGCCUUGAGACAGAAAAUAAAUAUCUUGAUAUUUUGUUGAUGUUUAAGAGUUUGCUGAAUGUAUCAAUUUGUAUGUUGAAAUAAAAUACUGUAUAAAUAGAAAACGACAGGAAAUUAUCAUUGUUAUUCUAUGUAUUUGAAGAUAUUUAUAAUGGUUAAAAAUUGUCUCGUAUAUUUAUAUUCAUAUGUUUUUGUUUAUUUUCUCACUCAACCAAGAACUGUAUUUCCUGAGAAGUGUACAUGUACGGUGAAUCAGAUCUUUAAGAAAUGUAAGUGUAUUUUAACAUAUAAAUGGAUGUUUUGAACGUUUAUUUUCGCGCAUGAUGAAAAUGAGACGACUUUAUUAUUUUACAGGUGUUCCGUUUCAAAAAGGCACGUACAUGAUAUUAAAUAUAAACUCAGUUAUCUAUUCUAUUCAAUCUGUACAAAAAGUCGUACAUGGUAAGAUAUAUCGAGUUGUUAUCAAUGUGUAUAAGUUAUACUAUGCCCUUGACUUAAUCCCUUUUACCGGUUAACAUGUAAGAAAAAUGAUUGAUUGCUGGUUUGAUGGUUGCUAAACGUCCAGCGGCAAAUAUAUAAUGCAUAUUAGGGAUAAGAAAGAAUUAGAUAUACAUACAAUAGGCAUGUAUUAAAGAAGAGCCCGUCUGGGAUGAAGGUAGAUAAAUAUGAACUUGCACUGUAAAAUGAGGGUAUUUUGAACGGGAACCACAUUUAACCUUGCAAAAGGUCAAAUACGGACUCGUCAUAGGUAUUUUGCAAGUAUUUAUGACGUACAAAGAACGUGAUAUUUUCUAUACACUUUUCAUCGGUUUUCAUGUCUCCGUUCUGAGCGGAAUUGGCUGCGAAAAUGAAGAUCCCGCACGGCGAACUGACGCUCCACUUAACCAAGGAUUUACUGCCGGUCGAGAGAAAAAACAGUAAUGAUUGAUAUCUAUUACCAUGUCAUCCUAGGGGGUAUGAGCAAAUAGUAAUCCCUACGUUACAGCUGAAACUUUUAUAAUAUUCAUUAUGUCUUGAGACAAUGGAAAGAUGUCUUUGAGACAUGGCAAAAUGUCUUGAGACAAAAUGUCUUGAGACAUAGCAAAUGUCUUGAGACAUAGCAAAUGUCUUGAGACAUAGCAAAAUGUCUUGAGACAUGGAAUGUCUUAAGAUGUUUCGUUAGUUCAUUAUAUAAAUGCAAUUUUCUACAUUGGUUGAUUUCAGAUACACAUUGACAAUGGCCAUGUCCUUGAGACAUAUAAGUUAAUAUACUAAGAUAAUCCAAUUAAACUGUAAAUAUAUUUGCAAUGGGGCCGUCUAUUUGUUUUUCAAAGGUAAUAGCAUUCACAAACAUAUUAAAAUGGUUUCUGAUUGAAUUCAAAUGUUCAAGAGGUGAAGUUUUGUUUGACAAACAGAUUUACAGCUCAUGCAAUAAAGAGAUACGAAAAAAAAGUCUGGUACCCACACAACAUACUUAUAUGGCUAAUUUGGAGAUUAUCAUUGAGCGAAAAAAAAAAUGAAGAUGGUGUAUAAAGUAUUAAUUAAAGACUCUAUGACAUAAAAAAAUACAGAUCAUACCUUGGAAGCAGUACGUAAACAAAACAAAAUAUCUAUGAAUUUGAUAUAUCUCCCCAUUAGAGGCGUGGUUUGUCAAACAGCUGUAUUUACAGGUUCAAUCUUUAGAUAGAAGAUAAAAUAUCGAUACAUUGUAGAUGUCUACGGACUGUUUUUUAUUGGUAUGUCAUAUUUGUAUUUUGAAGAAAACUAAGUCUUACAAAAAUGUUUUGACUUGAGACAGAACAUAAAUAUCUUGAGACUUUGUUGAUAUUUAAGAGUUUUGCUGAAUUGAUAUCAAUUUGUAUGUUGAAAUAAAAUACUAUAUAAAUAGAAAAAGACAGGAAAUUAUCAUUAUUAUUCUAUUUAUUUUGAAGAUAUUUAUAAUGGUUAAAAUUGUCUCGUAUAUUUAUAUUCAUAUGUUUUUGUUAUUUUCUCAUUCCAGCCAAGCACUUAUUUGCUGAAAGUGUACAUGUACGGUGAAUCAGAUCUUUAAGAAAUGUAAGUGUAUUUUAACAUAUAAUGGAUGUUUUGAUCGUUCAUUUUUGCGCAUGAUGAAAAUGAGACGACUUUAUUAUUUUACAGGUGUUCCGUUUCAAAAAGGCACGUACAUGAUAUUAAAUAUAAACUCAGUUAUCUAUUCUAUUCAAUCUGUACAAAAAGUCGUACAUGGUAAGAUAUAUCGAGUUGUUAUCAAUGUGUAUAAGUUAUACUAUGCCCUUGACUUAAUCCCUUUUACCGGUUAACAUGUAAGAAAAAUGAUUGAUUGCUGGUUUGAUGGUUGCUAAACGUCCAGCGGCAAAUAUAUAAUGCAUAUUAGGGAUAAGAAAGAAUUAGAUAUACAUACAAUAGGCAUGUAUAAAGAAGAGCCCGUCUGGGAUGAAGGUAGAAAAAUUUGAACUUGCACUGUAAAAUGAGGGUAUAUUGGAACGGGAACCACAUUUAACCUUGCAAAAGGUCAAAUACGGACCGUCAUAGGUAUUUUGCAAGUAUUUAUGACGUACAAAGAACGUGAUAUUCUCUAUACACUUUUCAUCGGUUUUCAUGUCUCCGUUCUGAGCGGUUGGCUGCGAAAAUGAAGAUCCCGCACGGCGAACUGACGUCCACUUAACCAAAGAUUUACUGCCGGUCGAGAGAAAAACAGUAAUGAUUGAUAUGUAUUACCAUGUCAUCCUAGGGGUUAUGAGCAAAUUAGUAUCCCUACGUUACAGCUGAACUUUUAUAAUAUUCAUUAUGUCUUGAGACAUGGAAAGAUGUCUUGAGACAUGGCAAAAUGUCUUGAGACAUGGGGCAAAAUGUCUUGAGACAUAGCAAAAUGUCUUGAGACAUAGCAAAAUGUCUUGAGACAUGGAAAAAUGUCUUAAGAUGUUUCGUUUUAGUUCAUUAUAUAAAUGCAAUUUUCUACAUUGUUGAUUUCAGAUACACCAUUGACAAUGGCCAUGUCUUGAGACAUAUAGUUAAUAUACUAAGAUAUCAAAUUAAACUGUAAAUAUAUUUGCAAUGGGGCCGUCUAUUUGUUUUUCAAAGGUAAUAGCAUUCACAAACAUAUUAAAAUGGUUUCUGAUUGAAUUCAAAUGUUCAAGAGGUGAAGUUUUGUUUGACAAACAGAUUUACAGCUCAUGCAAUAAAGAGAUACGAAAAAAAAGUCUGGUACCCACACAACAUACUUAUAUGGCUAAUUUGGAGAUUAUCAUUGAGCGAAAAAAAAAAUGAAGAUGGUGUAUAAAGUAUUAAUUAAAGACUCUAUGACAUAAAAAAAUACAGAUCAUACCUUGGAAACAGUACGUUAACAAAACAAAAUAUCUAUGAAUUUGAUAUAUCUCCCGAAAAAGAGGUGGUUUUGUCAACAGUUGUAUUUACAGGUUCAAUCUUAGAUAGAGAGAUAAAAUAUCGAUACAUUGAAGAUGUCUACGGACUGUUUUUUAUUGGUAUGUCAUAUUUGUAUUUUGAAGAAAACUAAGUCUUACAAAAAUGUUUUGACUUGAGACAGAACAUAAAUAUCUUGAGACUUUGUUGAUAUUUAAGAGUUUUGCUGAAUUGAUAUCAAUUUGUAUGUUGAAAUAAAAUACUAUAUAAAUAGAAAAAGACAGGAAAUUAUCAUUAUUAUUCUAUUUAUUUGAAGAUAUUUAUAAUGGUUAAAAAUUGUCUCGUAUAUUUAUAUUCAUAUGUUUUUGUUUAUUUUCUCAUUCACAGCCAAGCACUGUAUUUGCUGAGAAGUGUACAUGUACGGUGAAUCAGAUCUUUAAGAAAUGUAAGUGUAUUUUAACAUAUAAUGGAUGUUUUGAUCGUUCAUUUUUGCGCAUGAUGAAAAUGAGACGACUUUAUUAUUUUACAGGUGUUCCGUUUCAAAAAGGCACGUACAUGAUAUUAAAUAUAAACUCAGUUAUCUAUUCUAUUCAAUCUGUACAAAAAGUCGUACAUGGUAAGAUAUAUCGAGUUGUUAUCAAUGUGUAUAAGUUAUACUAUGCCCUUGACUUAAUCCCUUUUACCGGUUAACAUGUAAGAAAAAUGAUUGAUUGCUGGUUUGAUGGUUGCUAAACGUCCAGCGGCAAAUAUAUAAUGCAUAUUAGGGAUAAAAAAGAAUUAGAUAUACAUACAAUAGGCAUGUAUUAAAGAAGAGCCCGUCUGGGAUGAAGGUAGAAAAAUUGAACUUGCACUGUAAAAUGAGGGUAUAUUGGAACGGGAACCACAUUAACCUUGCAAAAGGUCAAAUACGGACCGUCAUAGGUAUUUUGCAAGUAUUUAUGACGUACAAAGAACGUGAUAUUCUCUAUACACUUUUCAUCGGUUUUCAUGUCUCCGUUCUGAGCGGAAUUGGCUGCGAAAAUGAAGAUCCCGCACGGCGAACUGACGCUCCACUUAACCAAGGAUUACUGCCGGUCGAGAGAAAAACAGUAAUGAUUGAUAUGUAUUACCAUGUCAUCCUAGGGGUAUGAGCAAAUUAGUAUCCCUACGUUACAGCUGAACUUUUAUAUAUUCAUUAUGUCUUGAGACAUGGUCUAGAGACAAAGUGGAAAGAUGUCUUGAGACAUGGGCAAAAUGUCUUGAGACAUAGCAAAAUGUCUUGAGACAUAGCAAAUGUCUUGAGACAUGGAAAUGUCUUAAGAUGUUCGUUUUAGUUCAUUAUAUAAAUGCAUUUUCUACAUGGUUGAUUUCAGAUACACCAUUGACAAUGGCCAUGUCUUGAGACAUAUAGUUAAUAUACUAAGAUAUCAAAUUAAACUGUAAAAAUAUUUGCAAUGGGGCCGUCUAUUUGUUUUUCAAUGUUAUAGCUUCACAAACAUAAAAAUGGUUUCUGAUUGAAUUCAAAUGUUCAAGAGGUGAAGUUUUGUUUGACAAACAGAUUUACAGCUCAUGCAAUAAAAGGAUACGACAAAAACAGUCUGGUACCCACACAACAUACUUAUAUGGCUAAUUUGGAGAUUAUCGUUUGAGCGAAAAAUAAAAUGUAGAUGGUGUAUAAAGUAUUAAUUAAAGACUCUAUAUAAAAAAUACAGAUCAUACCUUGGAAGCAGUACGUAAACAAAACAAAAUAUCUAUGAAUUGAUAUAUCUCCCCAAAAGAGGCGUGGUUUGUCAAACAGCUGUAUUUACAGGUGCAAUCUUUAGAUAGAAGAUAAAAUAUCGAUACAUUGUAGAUGUCUACGGACUGUUUUUUUUAUUGGUAUGUCAUAUUUGUAUUUUGAAGAAAACUAAGUCUUACAAAAAUGUUUUGCCUUGAGACAGAAAAUAAAUAUCUUGAUACUUUGUUGAUAUUUAAGAGUUUUGCUGAAUGUAUCAAUUUGUAUGUUGAAAUAAAAUACUGUAUAAAUAGAAAACGACAGGAAAUUAUCAUUAUUAUUCUAUUUAUUUGAAGAUAUUUAUAAUGGUUAAAAUUGUCUCGUAUAUUUAUAUUCAUAUGUUUUGUUUAUUUUCUCAUCUCACAACCAAGAACUGUAUUUCCUGAGAAGUGUACAUGUACGGUGAAUCAG
rnacentral:lncRNA from 1 species